rnacentral:rRNA from 1 species
GGAGCCGAUGAAGGACGUGGCAAUCUGCGAUAUUCCUCGGGGAGCCGAUAAGCGGGCUGUGAUCCGAGGAUUUCCGAAUGGGUAAACCCCGUCGUCUGUGAGGGCGAUGACCUGUAUCUGAAUACAUAGGGUGCAGGGGGGAACGCGGGGAAGUGAAACAUCUCAGUACCCGUAGGAGGAGAAAAUAAUAAUGAUUCUGCUAGUAGUGGCGAACGAACGUGGAUGAGGCUAAACCGUGUGCAUGUGAUACCUGGUAGGGGUUGUGUG